AGAGUUUGAUCCUGGCUCAGGAUGAACGCUGGCGGCGUGCUUAACACAUGCAAGUCGAACGGACCCAUAUUGAAACCUAGUGAUAUAUGGGUUAGUGGCGGACGGGUGAGUAACGCGUGGGUAACCUGCCUUACACAGGGGGAUAACACUUAGAAAUAGGUGCUAAAACCGCAUAAGCGCACAGCUUCGCAUGAAGCGGUGUGAAAAACUCCGGUGGUGUAAGAUGGACCCGCGUCUGAUUAGCUUGUUGGCGGGGUAACGGCCCACCAAGGCGACGAUCAGUAGCCGGCCUGAGAGGGCGGACGGCCACAUUGGGACUGAGACACGGCCCAGACUCCUACGGGAGGCAGCAGUGGGGAAUAUUGCACAAUGGGGGAAACCCUGAUGCAGCGACGCCGCGUGAGUGAAGAAGUAAUUCGUUACGUAAAGCUCUAUCAGCAGGGAAGAAACACUGACCUUACGGUCAGCAGACGGUACCUGAGUAAGAAGCCCCGGCUAACUACGUG
rnacentral:rRNA from 1 species